UGCAAGUCGAGCGGAUGGAUAGGAAGCUUGCUUCCUAGAAGUCAGCGGCGGACGGGUGAGUAACACGUGGGCAACCUGCCCCUAAGAUCGGGAUAACUUCGGGAAACCGGAGCUAAUACCGGAUAUGAUUAUGUCUCACAUGAGACAUAAUGGAAAGACGGUUUCGGCUGUCACUUAGGGAUGGGCCCGCGGCGCAUUAGCUAGUUGGUGAGGUAACGGCUCACCAAGGCGACGAUGCGUAGCCGACCUGAGAGGGUGAUCGGCCACACUGGGACUGAGACACGGCCCAGACUCCUACGGGAGGCAGCAGUAGGGAAUCUUCCGCAAUGGACGAAAGUCUGACGGAGCAACGCCGCGUGAGUGAAGAAGGUUUUCGGAUCGUAAAACUCUGUUGUUAGGGAAGAACAAGUACCAUAGUAACUGAUGGUACCUUGACGGUACCUAACCAGAAAGCCACGGCUAACUACGUGCCAGCAGCCGCGGUAAUACGUAGGUGGCAAGCGUUGUCCGGAUUUAUUGGGCGUAAAGCGCGCGCAGGCGGUCUUUUAAGUCUGAUGUGAAAGCCCACGGCUCAACCGUGGAGGGUCAUUGGAAACUGGGAGACUUGAGUGCAGAAGAGGAGAGUGGAAUUCCACGUGUAGCGGUGAAAUGCGUAGAGAUGUGGAGGAACACCAGUGGCGAAGGCGACUCUCUGGUCUGUAACUGACGCUGAGGCGCGAAAGCGUGGGGAGCGAACAGGAUUAGAUACCCUGGUAGUCCACGCCGUAAACGAUGAGUGCUAAGUGUUAGAGGGUUUCCGCCCUUUAGUGCUGCAGCUAACGCAUUAAGCACUCCGCCUGGGGAGUACGGGCC
rnacentral:rRNA from 1 species